rnacentral:misc_RNA from 1 species
CAACCCUUACGCCCUGUAGCGUAGUGUUGGGAGUCUACCUGUAGGUAGUUCCUGAAAUGCAUUGGCGGAGUUAGCGCAUACUCUAGGCGUAGUAAUACCAUUCUCGCUUCUGUAGUAGUGCUGGCGACUAGCCACUAAACCCCCUAUACUUCUAGU